rnacentral:misc_RNA from 1 species
GCGUCGGGUCAGUCUGACGCCAGAGCUUGUAGCGAGUGGUUGUUGUCUGGUUAGCAGGAGCGAACGCGCGUUGUUCUCACGUUGUGUGCACCGUUUUUGACAGGUUGUGAGGUCCGUGGCAUGGUGUGACUGUGACUGUCUACCGUCGGUUUCUGUGUGGUGAGCUGGGCCGUAGCAUCAGGUGAGGUGCGUUCUCGCUCUACCGUGGAUACCUUGGGCGCUAAGAGAGCCCGGAGCCUGUGGACGUCGCCGCCGCCCCCAAACCCGGGCUCACCUGUCUCCAAGCGUCGUCGCGACUCGCCACCCCCAAUGAACGCCGUGCCUCCGCCGCCUCCGGCUGCCGCUCCCAAGGUGCCCGGUCCGCAGAUGCCCGUCAACGAUCAGCAGGUCGCACUCUACCAGAGUAUGGACUCCGUCAGCACUGCGCCUGGCGAGGAAGAGAUGUUUCAGGUUCGGACCCUGUUUGUGAGCGGUCUGCCCAUGGACGCCAAGCCCAGAGAGUUGUAUCUACUGUUUCGAGCUUACGAGGGAUAUGAGGGAUCACUGCUAAAAGUAACGAGUAAAAAUGGAAAAACAGCAUCACCGGUUGGGUUCGUGACCUUCAACACACGCGCAGGCGCAGAAGCCGCCAAACAAGAUCUCCAGCAGGGCGUCCGUUUCGAUCCCGACAUGCCGCAGACAAUCCGCCUGGAGUUUGCCAAGAGCAACACCAAGGUUAGCAAGCCCAAACAGCCUGCCGCUAGCAUCACCAACACGCACCCGACUCUAAUGCACCCUCUCACUGGACACUUGGGCGCGCCUUUCUUCCCGGGCGCACACGAGCUGUGGCCGCACCCGUUGACCUACGCGGAGUUGCCUGGUGCGGCGGCCGCCUUGCAGCACGCGCACGCCACCCUAGUGCACCCGGCCCUGCACCCGCAAGUGCCUCCGCCCCUGUCAAUCCCGCAUCCGACUGCGGCGCUGACCGCAAUGCAUGCGGCCGCCUACCUGCCGUCUCCCGCACUGGCCUCUCCCGUCGGCUCCAGUCCAACGUCUCAGCCGGGAAUCAACGUGACGGCUCCCGCGUGCUCCACGCUCUUUGUCGCAAAUCUCGGCCAGUUUGUCUCCGAACACGAACUCAAGGAGAUAUUUAGCAGAAGUGUGGGAAUGCGGCGGCCUGCCACCACCUCCACCUUUUGAUGAUGUCAGUAAUCUUCACAGUGACAGUAACCGUCACAGUGACCGUCACAGUGACAGUCGGUGUGGACCCAUCCGUGGUGAAGAAAACGGACAGUGUUAAUCUGGCGUACGGCCCAGGAGCAGGAGCCGCGUUGAGCAGCACCUGACACUGG